GCCCUCAGCCCGCGGGGGGAGCCUGCACGCGCAGCCCUUCGCUGACAGCUGCCGAGCGACACCUGGGUCGCGAGGCCAGCGCGCGAGCGAGCAGGGCAGAGUCGACAGGGACUUGCCGGGAGAAGGGAGGCUCGCAGCGCCCUGCACCGAGGAAGGUAACGCGCAGCGCCCGGGGUCCGGGGUUUUGACCCCCCAGGCCGGGAACUGGGGACUAGAAGACGCGGCA
rnacentral:lncRNA from 1 species